UCAAUGGGACCAGUUAUUAUUUUGAUAUAAAUACGGCUUCCUUGACGCUCAGCAAGACAGAAGCUUCUGAUACAAUCUUGCGAUUCCAUAAUAUUGGCAGAUCAAAAUGAAGAGCUCCAUGUCUCCCCUGAUUGUUGUCAUCAUUACUGCUGUCAUCUUCUGUAUCUUCAUAUGCAGUUCUAGCAGUGAUAAUAGCGGUUGGACUGCAGAUAGCGACUGGACGUCAACCAUUCAAUGAUGAAAGAUACACAAUUUGAGGAAAUAUGUUACAACUAUAUAAUAUGGGUUAUUAGAAAUAAGAAAUUCCACUCGGGAUGAAAAAUAAUUAUAUAAGAAAUAAGAAAUGGAAAUAAACAAUUACUAUUGGAAAUAAGAAAAAGAA